AAGGGGCAGUAAUGCGUGGGUAACCUACCCCGGGGAUCGGGAUAGCCUUCCUAACGGAUGGGUAAUACCGGGCGAUCCAGCGAGGAGACAUCUUCUUGCUGGGAAAUGAAUUUCGCCUCGGGAGGGGCUCACGUGCUAUUAGCUAGUUGGUGAGGUAACGGCUCACCAAGGCUUAGAUGGCUAGCAGGUGUGAGAGCACGACCUGCGCCACUGGCACUGCGACACUGGCCAGACUCCUACGGGAGGCUGCAGUCGAGGAUCUUCGGCAAUGGGCGCAAGCCUGACCGAGCGACGCCGCGUGUGCGAUGAAGGCCUUCGGGUUGUAAAGCACUGUCGAGGGGGAGGAAGCCGUAAGGUUGACCUAUCCCUGGAGGAAGCACGGGCUAAGUUCGUGCCAGCAGCCGCGGUAAGACGAACCGUGCGAACGUUGUUCGGAAUCACUGGGCUUAAAGGGCGCGUAGGCGGAUCAUCAAGUCCGGGGUGAAAUCUUUCGGCUUAACCGGAAAACAGCCUUGGAUACUGGUGGUCUCGAGCGAGGUAGGGGCCGUUGGAACUUCCGGUGGAGCGGUGAAAUGCGUUGA
rnacentral:rRNA from 1 species